UGGAGUAUCCUUCCCAAGUUGCGUGGAUGUGAAGGGACACAACAGUUCCCCUGAUGUACCAUGGGCGACCUACUUGUGAUGUGGACCUGAACCUCCACCAUGUAGCAGACAACCCCCCUCAGGUCUUGGAGUAUCCUUCCCAAGGUGCAGGAACCAGCGUGGAUGUCAAGGGACAAGAUAGUUCCCCUGCUGUACCAUGGGCGACCUACCACAAUACCACUGCAUUUCUGAAAUGCCAUAUUUUACAUUUUAACUAAUAAUUUAAAGAAAAACCACACAAAACUUCUAAUUUUAAAAAUUUAUUGAAGAAUUAAAAUUGUAUUUUUUUGGGGAUUAAAAAUUAAAAUGAAAUAAAAACAAAAAAA